rnacentral:tRNA from 2 species
GGCCUGAUGGUCUAGGGUAUGAUUCUCGCUUAGGGUGCGAGAGGUCCCGGGUUCAAAUCCCGGUCAGGCCC